rnacentral:rRNA from 1 species
UACGUAGGGUGCGAGCGUUGUCCGGAAUUACUGGGCGUAAAGAGCUCGUAGGUGGUUUGUCGCGUUGUUCGUGAAAACUCACAGCUCAACUGUGGGCGUGCGGGCGAUACGGGCAGACUUGAGUACUGCAGGGGAGACUGGAAUUCCUGGUGUAGCGGUGGAAUGCGCAGAUAUCAGGAGGAACACCGGUGGCGAAGGCGGGUCUCUGGGCCGGAACUGACGCUGAGGAGCGAAAGCGUGGGUAGCAAACAGG